rnacentral:rRNA from 1 species
AGGUGGCGAGCGUUGUCCGGAUUUACUGGGUGUAAAGGGAGCGCAGGCGGGAAUUCAAGUCAGACGUGAAAACUAUGGGCCCAACCCAUAACGUGCGUUUGAAACUGUAUUUCUUGAGUGAAGUAGAGGUAGGCGGAAUUCCGAGUGUAGCGGUGAAAUGCGUAGAUAUUCGGAGGAACACCAGUGGCGAAGGCGGCCUACUGGGCUUUUACUGACGCUGAGGCUCGAAAGGGUGGGGAGCAA